rnacentral:lncRNA from 1 species
CCCGCCCCCUCCGUCCCGCCCGGGCUGCUCGCCCCGCCCCCGCGCGGCGCUGGGAGGCGGGAGCUGUCUCUGAGAACCUGCGGGAGAGCGCCCGGGCUUGCUGCUUCCCGGACCCGCGCGUCUCUCGAGCACCCUCGUCCCACCACCUUGUGAGGCCGUAGUGUUAUUUUUAUUUUUUAGAUCAGCAGACUGAGACUCGAGGUGACGUCACUCCGCAGAGAGGUUAGCUGACUUGAAGAAAACGGAAUGUCUGCAUUGGAAUCGCCUCACCUCCUUUUACCGCUGGAGAAGCCGACGGACAGACGGGCAGCGACCCCCGCCGUCGCACAACCCGUCUAGGCAGAGAGCGCAGGAGACGGGAGGGCGGCAGGGACACAUCUCCCAGCCAAGGACCUCCUGGGCCCGCAGAGGCCGCGACAGGUUCCCCCCACAGAGGGAACCAACUCUGCCGCAGGUUGAUGUGGACUUCAAGCCUGCAGAACGGAGAGCCCAUUUCCAUUGCUUAAAGCCACCUCGUGUGUGGUAUUUGUUAUGGUCCCUGUACACUCCCUUCCCUCCCUCUCCCAAGUCCAGUCCGCAGCUCGCUCAUCACCAGGCUCUUUUCCAUGACUCUUUCUUGAUCAGGCCUUUUUAUCGUCCUCACCACAGACUUCAUUAUCAUGGUUGCCUGACCCAACACAACAUAUUUGGAGGAGGAGAGGGGACACUUUUAUUGUACCCCAUCACGUGGCUGAGUCAUUUGGCUCUCCAUUCACUGGAACAGACGACUAUGGACACCACCAUUGGGUUUCCCACCAAGGACAGAGUUCCAAAGCAACAGUGGCUUCCAUGGUUGGCUCACCCAGCCUGCCUGAGUCAUCAGCUAGGUCCACAGAGUAGAGAAGUGGGUAGUGCCCCCGCCUAACAUCUGGAAAAAUUCCCAAAAGUUGUGACUUCAUGACCACUGAGUCAGCAGCAACUCUUUUCUUGCCAAGAAUAGCACAUUGUUCUUUUCCUUUUCAGGUAAUCCCUCCCCGGAAAGAGAAGAUCACAGAUUUUGUCAUAUUAAAUACAUUGUAGAAAUUCAUGGUAGCAGGGGCAAGAUCAUUUAAACAAAACAGAAAGUUUCAGAGAGAGAAAAAGCCAAGGACAAAGAUUAAUCAUUUUUCUGCUUAAAAAAAAUGGCUUUGAUUUGCAACCAUGGAAUGCUCCACUGUUUCUCUUCUCUUCAAAGACAUCUACUGAAAGGAUUCCUUAACCUUACCAAGUGGCCAAAAUACUUUUCUGAGAAGAGUCACAGAGCAUAGGCCCCCCUAGGGUACACAGAGAUUUCAUUAGUCCCUAGAUGUUUCCUGAUCCUUUUAAAAACUGGUUAAAUUCAGAGACUCUAGGCAAUUACUUCUUUCAGAACCUGUGAGGCAAAAACGAAAGAAGAAGGCAGGACACGCAGUGUAACAAACCUUGGAAUGGACUUCGCCAGACUUCAUCAGAAGAAAGCAGUGCAAGAGGGGACUGCAGAGGAAAGCUGGGGCUUGGGAAACCAGCAGCAGGGGCCACGUGGGCAGGUGGUUUCUGUGUGAACCUCUGAUCUGUGCAACAUAAACAGGAAAUGUUGAAGGCUUCCAGUGCUCUUUUUUGAUGUCGAGAACAUUCUACGGCACAAAAGAGUUUGCCUCUCACUGUUUCUCAUAUAUGGAGGUUUUCUAAUCAGCAUCCUGAACAGAAUUGAAUUAAAAAUAAAAACCAAAGUAAAAC